rnacentral:rRNA from 1 species
GUAGGGAAUAUUGGGCAAUGGAGGCAACUCUGACCCAGCCAUGCCGCGUGCAGGAUGACGGCCCUCUGGGUUGUGAACUGCUUUUAUACGGGAAGAAAAAAUACUACGUGUAGUAUACUGACGGUACCGUAAGAAUAAGGAUCGGCUAACUCCGUGCCAGCAGCCGCGGUAAUACGGAGGAUCCAAGCGUUGUCCGGAUUUAUUGGGUUUAAAGGGUGCGUAGGCGGAUCUUUAAGUCAGUGGUGAAAGCCUGCAGCUUAACUGUAGAAUUGCCAUUGAAACUGAAGAGCUUGAAUGUGGUUAAAGUAGGCGGAAUGUAUCAUGUAGCGGUGAAAUGCUUAGAUAUGAUACAGAACACCGAUAGCGAAGGCAGCUUGCUGAACCAUUAUUGACGCUGAGGCACGAAAGCGUGGGGAGCGAACAGGAUUAGAUACCCGAGUAGUCC